CUUGUUUAGGAUUUCACCAAUGGACACAGUGACCUCUGGUGGCUCCUUGGUGUCCUGAUGGAACAGUCUCAUGCCUCUUGAGUCUUUGAUUCUACAGUUGUCAUCAUGAACUGAUGGUGUUUGCACUUGGCCAACUGGAUGGAUAAAGGGUUCUCCUCUUGCUCAUCCACACUGAAGUUGGCGCGAUGCAGCUGCGAGUACCUGGGACUUUGCUCAUGUGUUUGACUGUGGCAGCUGAAGCUUGGAUGACAAAGACCAUCGAGUACCUGGGACUUUACUCAUGUGUUUGACUGUGGCAGCUGAAGCUUGGAUGACACCCAGAGCAGCUGGACAUGGUUGCUAAGGUGUUGCGUGCGAAGUUAAGGGAUUACCCAUGGCCUUGGAUGACUGCUGCAGCCUUUAAAUCGACUGUUGAUCUGAAGGUGCUGGCCGACGCUGGUCACUGACAAGUUGUUGUCCAUGGAAAUUGAAGCAAGAGAAGAUUUUCAUCUGUUAUAUAGAUAUAAAAUUGAGUUCAUGCUGGCUCACUUUGUCCUGGCCAACAGUGACACCUGUGAGUUUUCUGCCAUGAAAAAGUACUUCAACUGAAAGUUCUGAUUUAAUAAAAUUGCUUAUAUGCAAA